rnacentral:rRNA from 1 species
GAGUUUGAUCCUGGCUCAGGAUGAACGCUGGCGGCGUGCUUAACACAUGCAAGUCGAACGGAGUACCCCUGAAGGAGUUUUCGGACAACUGAUGGACUACUUAGUGGCGGACGGGUGAGUAACGCGUGAGUAACCUGCCUUGGAGUGGGGAAUAACAGCUGGAAACAGCUGCUAAUACCGCAUAAUAUGUCUGUGUCGCAUGGCACUGGACAUCAAAGAUUUAUCGCUCUGAGAUGGACUCGCGUCUGAUUAGCUAGUUGGCGGGGUAACGGCCCACCAAGGCGACGAUCAGUAGCCGGACUGAGAGGUUGGCCGGCCACAUUGGGACUGAGACACGGCCCAGACUCCUACGGGAGGCAGCAGUGGGGAAUAUUGGGCAAUGGGCGCAAGCCUGACCCAGCAACGCCGCGUGAAGGAAGAAGGCUUUCGGGUUGUAAACUUCUUUUCUCAGGGACGAAGCAAGUGACGGUACCUGAGGAAUAAGCCACGGCUAA